UUUAACCCAACAAAAGCAGCUACAAUUCGAGUGUCUGGGAGUUCAGGGGAAGACAAAUUCUUCUUGAGUGAUAUUGAUGACUUUGAACUCAAAGAAACUCGGGGUGAUUCAAAUUUUCCAGAUGUUGUUGAUAAAGAAAAUUAUUCCUCAUUUUGUCCAGAAGGAAUUAAUAUAGUGGAUGGGCUGCUAAAUACAAAUGAUGAAUCUUAUUCUUCUCCGGACAACUUUGUUCAAGAUAAUGGAUUGGGUGACUUCAAAAACUUGACAGAAAAUUCAAAUUUAACAUCAAGUCCUGUUCGUAUUCCUAAACAACAGAGCGUUGCAGAUGUAGAAGUUGUGCAGGUGGCAGAAUCAUUACUCGAUUUAAGGCCC
rnacentral:misc_RNA from 1 species